rnacentral:rRNA from 1 species
AUUGAACGCUGGCGGAAUGCUUUACACAUGCAAGUCGAACGGUAGAGGGGGCAACCCCUUGAGAGUGGCGAACGGGUGAGUAAUAUAUCGGAACGUGCCCAGUCGUGGGGAUAACGUAGCGAAAGUUACGCUAAUACCGCAUACGAUCUAAGGAUGAAAGCGGGGGACUCGCAAGAGCCUCGCGCGAUUGGAGCGGCCGAUAUCAGAUUAGGUAGUUGGUGGGGUAAAGGCUCACCAAGCCAACGAUCUGUAGCUGGUCUGAGAGGACGACCAGCCACACUGGAACUGAGACACGGUCCAGACUCCUACGGGAGGCAGCAGUGGGGAAUUUUGGACAAUGGACGCAAGUCUGAUCCAGCCAUUCCGCGUGCAGGAUGAAGGCCCUCGGGUUGUAAACUGCUUUUGUACGGAACGAAAAGGUUUCUAUUAAUACUAGGAGCUCAUGACGGUACCGUAAGAAUAAGCACCGGCUAACUACGUGCCAGCAGCCGCGGUAAAGUGACU